GACGAACGCUGGCGGCGUGCUUAACACAUGCAAGUCGAGCGGUAAGGCCCUUUCGGGGGUACACGAGCGGCGAACGGGUGAGUAACACGUGGGUGACCUGCCCUCAGCUCUGGGAUAAGCCUGGGAAACCGGGUCUAAUACUGGAUAUGACUCCAUGACGCAUGUUGUGGGGUGGAAAGCCUUGUGCGGCUGAGGAUGGGCCCGCGGCCUAUCAGCUUGUUGGUGGGGUGAUGGCCUACCAAGGCGACGACGGGUAGCCGGCCUGAGAGGGCGACCGGCCACACUGGGACUGAGACACGGCCCAGACUCCUACGGGAGGCAGCAGUGGGGAAUCUUGGUCAAUGGACGAAAGUCUGAACCAGCCAUGCCGCGUGGAGGAUGAAGGUCCUCUGGAUUGUAAACUUCUUUUAUAUGGGAACGAAAAAGG
rnacentral:rRNA from 1 species